UGGGAGGUGGCGACUGAGGAAGAUGAAGAUCCAGUUUCAGACAUGAGACUUGUUGGGUGAUCAUUUCAUUGAGAUCAACCUGAAUGACCAGGUGUAAAGUGCAAGAGUAGUAUGCUAUGACUGAGGCAACUCAAAUUUUUUAAUUGCCAAUGUCUGUUUCUUUUGAUUCUACAAAAGAAACUAUGUUUCUGGUAGCCCUUAAACCUCAGGAUUCCAAUCAACCGUUAGAUAGACUCAUGACUGAAAAACAGCAGGAAGAAGCAGAAUGGGAAAGCAUAAAUGUGCUAUUGAUGAUGCAUGGCUUAAAACCUUUGUCUCUAGUCAAAAGAACAGAUCUCAAAGAUCUCAUCAUUUUUGACAAACAGUCAUCACAAAGGAUGAGACAGAAUUUGAAAUUGUUGGUGGAAGAAACCUCACGUCAACAGAACAUGAUACAGGAGCUUAUAGAAACUAAUCAGCAGCUUAGAAAUGAACUUCAGCUAGAGCACAGCCGAGCAACCAAUCAAGAACAACGAGCUAAUGACUUGGAAUAAAUUAUGGAGAGUGUGAAAUCCAAAAUUGGUGAAUUGGAGGAUGAAUCACUAAAUAGGGCUUGCCAGCAACAGAAUAAAAUAAAAGAUCUUCAAAAGGAGCAGAAAACUUUAUAGGUGAAGUGCCAGCAUUAUAAGAAAAAACGAACUGAGCAACAAGAAACUAUUGCUUCUUUGCAAAUGGAAGUCUGUAGAUUAAGAAAGGAGGAAGAAGAUCGCAGUCACUCAAAACAGAGUGUUUGCCUAUCUGUGCAAAAGAGUUCCUCAUACCGUCUUGGAUAGACGGUAUGUAAUUUUGCUACAUAAAUUGAUAUGUAGCUAGAUUCAUGGUUUUGUU